rnacentral:rRNA from 1 species
UACGUAGGGUGCGAGCGUUAAUCGGAAUUACUGGGCGUAAAGCGUGCGCAGGCGGUUCGUUAUGUCCGUUGUGAAAGCCCCGGGCUCAACCUGGGAACUGCAUUUGGGACUGCAAGGCUGGAGUACGGCAGAGGGAGGUGGAAUUCCACGUGUAGCAGUGAAAUGCGUAGAGAUGUGGAGGAACACCGAUGGCGAAGGCAGCCUCCUGGGCUAGUACUGACGCUCAUGCACGAAAGCGUGGGGAGCAAACAGG